rnacentral:rRNA from 1 species
UACGUAGGGUGCAAGCGUUAAUCGGAAUUACUGGGCGUAAAGCGUGCGCAGGCGGUUUUGUAAGUCUGUUGUGAAAUCCCCGGGCUCAACCCGGGAACUGCGUCCGAUACUGGCAGGCUUGAAUUCGGGAGAGGGAUGCGGAAUUCCAGGUGUAGCGGUGAAAUGCGUAGAUAUCUGGAGGAACACCGGUGGCGAAGGCGGCAUCCUGGACCGGAAAUU